rnacentral:rRNA from 1 species
GCUUAACCGGAGAAGUGCAUCGGAAACUGGAUAACUUGAGUGCAGAAGAGGGUAGUGGAACUCCAUGUGUAGCGGUGGAAUGCGUAGAUAUAUGGAAGAACACCAGUGGCGAAGGCGGCUACCUGGUCUGCAACUGACGCUGAGACUCGAAAGCAUGGGUAGCGAACAGGAUUAGAUACCCUGGUAGUCCAUGCCGUAAACGAUGAGUGCUAGGUGUUGGAGGGUUUCCGCCCUUCAGUGCCGGAGCUAACGCAUUAAGCACUCCGCCUGGGGAGUACGACCGCAAGGUUGAAACUCAAAGGAAUUGACGGGGGCCCGCACAAGCGGUGGAGCAUGUGGUUUAAUUCGAAGCUACGCGAAGAACCUUACCAGGUCUUGACAUCUUGCGCCAACCCUAGAGAUAGGGCGUUUCCUUCGGGAACGCAAUGACAGGUGGUGCAUGGUCGUCGUCAGCUCGUGUCGUGAGAUGUUGGGUUAAGUCCUGCAACGAGCGCAACCCUUAUUAUCAGUUGCCAGCAUUCAGUUGGGCACUCUGGUGAGACUGCCGGUGACAAACCGGAGGAAGGUGGGGAUGACGUCAAAUCAUCAUGCCCCUUAUGACCUGGGGCUACACACGUGCUACAAUGGACGGUACAACG